rnacentral:misc_RNA from 1 species
AGCAAUUUAACUGAAAUAGGUUAAUCUUUACUGACAGUUACACAACGGAAGGACAAUGAAAACCAAGUAAAUAAAAAGAAAAGAGACAUUUUCAUCUGCAACACCGUACCAUGUCUACUGUACGAUUGAGACGUAAAUGUAAAGCAUAAUUGAAAUUUAAAUACCAUCUAGUCCCUGAUAGAUCCACAGCUUUAAUCACUGGGUAACUACUAAGAACAAAAUUCAGCUCAUAUCUCGGACUCUCCAUGAUGCAUAUUCAGAAUGAGUUAAGAUUGACCGGAGGACUCCACAUGAUUCUGUACUGCAAAGUUCCACCUACAACGAGCUAACGUUUCAAUCUCUAACCGUUCACCGAUAUCAGAAAACUUCCAGGUUAGAUAAUGUUCCACACAAGAGAUUCCAGAAUUUGGAACUUCCACUCUUCAGCCUUGUUUCUGCAACCUACUACUUCUACGGACGUUCUGAGAAUUCGGGGUAUCAACCUUCACCAUCGGCUUCUUGCGAGUCUUACUUUGAGGAGUAUCAUCUGGUCCUUGAUCUGUUGUAUUAUCGUUCUGAGAAUUUGCAGUACCAACUUUUGCCUUCUGCUUCUUGGAAGUCUUACUGCAGGGAGCGCCACCCGAUGCUUGUUCUGUUGUAUUAUCAUUCUGAGAAUUCGCAGUACCAACUUUUGCCUUCUGCUUCUUGGAAGUCUUACUGC